CUCAUGGAGAGUUUGAUCCUGGCUCAGGAUGAAUGCUGGCGGCAUGCUUAUUGCUUAACACAUGCAAGUCGAACGGGAAGUGGUGUUUCCAGUGGCAGACGGGUGAGUAACGCGUAAGAACCUGCCCUUGGGAGGGGAACACCAGUUGGAAACAACUACUAAUACCCCAUAGGCUGAGGAGAAAAAGGAGGAAUCCGCCCAAGGAGUGGCUUGCGUCUAAUUAUUUAGUUAGUGAGGCAAUGGCUUACCAAGGCGACAAUCAGUAGCUGGCCCGAGAGGAUGAUCAGCCAGAUUAAGACUGAGACAUGACCCAAACUCCUACGAGAGGCAACAAUGGGGAAUUUUCUGCAAUGGGAGAAAUCCUGACGGAGCAAUGCCACGCGAAGGCAGAAGGCCCAUGGGUCAUGAACUUAUUUUCUCGGAGAAGAAAAAAUGAAGGUAUCUGAGGAAUAAGCAUCGACUAACUUUGUGCUAGCAACCGCAGUAAGACAGAGGAUGCAAGCGUUAUCCAUAAUGAUUGGGCGUAAAGCGUUUGUAGGUGGCUUUUCAAGUCCGCCGUCAAAUCCCAGGGAUGAACCCUGGAUAGGUGGUGGAAACUACCAAGCUGGAGUACGGUAGGGGUAGAGGGACUUUCUGGUGGAGUGAUGAAAUGCGUUGAGAUCGAAAAGAACACCAACGAUGAAAACACUCUGCUGGGCCGACAUUAACACUAAGAGACGAAAGCUAGGGGAUAAAAUGGGAUUAGAUACCCCAGUAGUCCUAGCCGUAAACGAUGGAUACUAAGUGCUGUGCGUAUCGAACUGUGUAAUGUUGUAGCUAACGUGUUAAGUAUCCCGCCCGAGGAGUAUGUUUGCAAGAAUGAAACUCAGAGGAGUUGACGGGGGCCCGCACAAGCGGUGGAGCAUGUGGUUCAAUUCUAUGCAAAGCGAAGAACCUUACCAGGGCUUGACAUGCCGUGAAUCCUACUGAAAGAGAGGAGUGCCUUCAGGAAUGCAGACACAGGUGGUGCAUAGCUGUUGUCAGCUCAUACCAUAAGGUGUUGGGUUAAGUCCCGCAACGAGCGCAACCCUCGUAUUUAGUUGCCAACAUUGAGUUUGGAACCCUGAACAGACUGCCGAUGAUAAGCCGGAGGAAGGUGAGGAUGACGUCAAGUCAUCAUGCCCCUUACGCCUUGGGCGACACAUGUGCUACAAUGACCAGGACAAAGGGUCACGACCCCGCGAGGGCAAGCUAACCUCAAAAACCUGACCUCAGUUCGGAUUGCAGGCUGUAACUCGCCUGCAUGAAGCCAAAAUCGCUAGUAAUCGCCGGUCAUCCAUAUGACGGUGAAUCUGUUCCCGGGCCUUGUACACAUUGCCCGUCACACUAUGGGAGCUGGCCAUGCCCCAAGUUGUUACCUUAACCGUAAGGAUGGGGAUGUCGAAGACUAGGCUAGUGGCUGGAGUGAAGUCGUAACAAGGUAGUUGUAUUGGAAGGUGCGGCUAGAUCACCUCCUUU
rfam:Picea glauca, whole genome shotgun sequence.